GCUGUCAUUACAUGUAAUUAUUAUUAGUACACUGAACUUUUCUUCGAGGCCUACGUGGACAAAAAUUUUCGGUUUACCCACCAACAAUAAAAUGGAAAGGACCUGCACUUUUUCAGUUUUUGGAAAGGCACGGACAAUUUCAAAAUCCCUGCCAAAUAUAUUAGAGUUCAUUCACAAGUAUGCUGAACCCGGGACCAGUCUAAAGACCUACAGUGUUCACAAAGUGCAUGGCUUUUGGGAAAAUGUCUCAAGAGAUUUGGGAGUGCCUAAUACAUGUCUUAAUAGGAAAAAGAUUCUCAAGGCAGUCCUGCAGUAUGAAAAGACCACAUCAGGGGUAGAGGGUCCCUUGCUACAGAGUGAUUUUCCUACUGCAGAGACAACACUUGGAGAUGAUGUUCCUUCCAUUAAUGAGGAAGACGUUGUUGUUGCGCCAAAGUCUCCACAAUCUGUAGGAAAUGUACCUUUACCUUCAAGAAAAGGAUGCACUUCAAAAAACUGCAGAGAGCGGCAUCCAUACCCCAGACACACAAAUCCCUCGAGAGUGACUCUAAAUCUUCAUCUUCAAAUGCAAAUGCUAAGAGGAAUGAAUCAGAUGAAUCAGCUGAGGUCAACACAGACAGUAGCAGUUCAGAAGAAAGAUUUUUCACAUCUGGUUUGCCACAGCAGAAAACUUUCUUUUUCAUAAAUGAGAAUGAAUGGAAGGAGUUACGGCAACAUCAGUCAGGAAGACUAUUUAAAGGACUGCAGUGGACAAAUAUUAUUGCCAGUGGAAUCAGAACCCUUAAUCCGUACUGCAGUUUUGGAUUUCGGAGACAGUGUGAAAAAACUCUCUUCAAGAUCAGAGGCACCGGUUUUCAGGUGUAUGGGGUACUGCAGAUUUCAGGACUGCCCUGUCACUGUGGAUGUGGUGGUUUAUGACGAAGAGACACUGAAAGCAGAAGUCGUUUUUAAAGGAGGUGAGGUCUGCCAUAAUAACAAAGAGCUGAAAAGGCGGCCUGUGCGUGCACAAUCACGUCAAAGUGCUGGAGAACUCCUCAAAAACAAAUUACCAAGGAGCUUGUACUUGGAGUCUUUACAGAAAGUGCCACAAAAGGUGAUCCAAUCUGGCAACAGGGAUGAUGCUCCAACAAAAGAAGUCUUGAAAAACAUUGCAUGGUCUGAAAGAAAAGCCAGUAGAGCAGAUCCCAACGAGUUGAUUAGCUUACAAAAGAUAAUUCAACAGUAUCAGGACACUGAAAAGGAUGUACUGCAGAAGAUUCUGAUGCAUCCAAAGGGCAUAAUGCUGUGGUCUAAGAAAACCUUGUCAGUUUUUCAUCAAAGAUGCAAAGAAGACAUUGUGUACUUUGAUGCCACUGGAAGUAUAAUAAGAAAAGAAAGUGCUGGAAGGCCACCAUACUAUGUGUAUGAGUUGGUUGUCAGAAACCCAUCCAAAGGUGCUUCUCCUCUUCCAGUUGCUACAUAUGUCACGUGUGACCACACUACAGCCUCUGUGACAUACUUCUUGCAGGCCUUUCAGACUGAUCUGGUAAGAGCAUUUGGUAAUCGGGCCUACAACAGGCCUGUCAUGUUCAUGUGUAAUGGAUCCCUGGUACUCCGAUGGUACUCCUGGUACUCCUCCGAUCCAUUUCCAUGACAUUCUGCAGAACAAGUCUAGAGGAUCUGCUGCAGAAGUACUAUGUCUUACUCACUGGCCAGCAAUUCAACAUUCCCAUUCUUCAUCGAUGCUUGAGCCAUGUCAUGAAAAAUGCCAAGGACCUUUGUAAAAAACACAUUCCAGAGAACUACAGGCUUGGAAUGCAUGUGUUUGGGCUCCUUGCAUGCUGUGAUAACUUAAAAGACAUGGAUGAUGUUGUCCAUAGUGCAGCAAUAGUGUUUUGCAGUCCUUGUAGUGGAAGGAAUGUAACAAAACACUACAACAACUUGAAAAUCCUUAUGCAAAAAAGGGGGACCCUGGAUUUGGAUGAAAAGACUGUGAUUGCUGAGGACUACAAGACUGAUGUUCAGAAUGCCCCCUUGAAGACCCAUUUCCAGGCAAUUGCUGACAAUGCAACACUGGACUGUGAGGGCGAAAGAAACAUCUUUCAUGCACCCAAAUUUAUUGCCGGUCUGGUAAAUCACCUUCUACCACAUGCAACUUUGUGGUCAUCAAUGAUGCUCGGGGACCUUGGACGUCAUGGUACUGGUCCUGCUCACCAGCAGCUCAGUAAACUCUAUAGUGACAUUCAGCAAUCCAAGAACCAGAAUUUUACACAAGACAACAGAACCCAAGGAAUCAUGGAGAAAAGCCAGUGGGAUUUGAAACAAAUCCGUAUCCAGAGAAGAAGACUGACAAGGCUUGAUGACUUUGUGGAAAUUUAUCAAAAAAUGCACGAUGCCCUCCUGCUUGAAUAUGCAGACAUGAAAAAAUCAAGACAAAAGUCUUUUCACGUGGAAAUGGAGAAAUGGAAAGACAAACGCAUUAAACGAAAAGGUGUGUAUGUGUCACCGUUAGUGACCGAACUGCCACUGAAGAAAAAGAAAACUGAGAUAAAAGGGAAGACCACUGUUCAAACCUUUAAACAGGAACAGCACAAACAAUAUGAUGCUCGUCAAAAUCAGGAUGAGAGCCAGGAACAAAUAGCUGUUAGCCAAAAAAUUGCAACAAACAUGGCUAAUAAAGUGUCUGUCACAAUAUGGAAAGGAGAUUUAUGUGCCUUCAAAGUGGAUGCAAUUGUGAAUGCAGCUAAUGAAAGUCUCUCUCACAUGGGUGGACUUGCAAAGGCACUGUCUGCUACUGGAGGACGUACUAUCCAAGCAGAGAGUGAUGUCUUCAUUGCCAAAAAUGGCAAAUUAAAGGCAGGACAAGUUGCAGUUACCACAGCAGGCAAACUACCUUGCAUGAAGCUGAUUCAUUUGCAGUGAGCUCUGGAAUAUUCAACUUUCCAGUCUCAAUUUGUGCUGAUGUUGUAGUCACCACAAUCAAAAAGUACAUUGAACAUAAGAACCCCACAAGUCCUCCAUUUGAAAUACACCUGGUAAACAACGA